UGAAUGUUUUAAAUAAACAAAAACACACCACUGUGUUUUGAGCUUCUGAACCUCUUGUCGGUUCCAAAACACUGAGAAACUAAAGUAAUUUCUUGGCGUUACUCCACGCCUUGACCAAAGUAGCUGGGCUUCUUCACAGGUCGCCCAUACCGCGUUCUCUUCCGCUGUAUCUCUGCCUCCUGGGUGACGAGCCUUCGUCGUCGGUUGCCUGCAACAGGAGGAUUCACAACGUUAUUGUUGGCAUUAGGAGGUCGAACGAUCUGCUCAACAACUGGAGUGGCUGGAGUGACUGCCUCAGUGUUGGCUCGCGACGUGAUUACAUGUUCAAUAAGGCCCUCAAUGUCUACGAAGUUGUCAUCGUGCAUAUCAGGUUUUGUGAGAGAUGGCUUUAGAUGACUUUCCCUGAGCGUUGGCACUGCGGUUCUGCACCUUCUGCUCAUGAGGAUUUGGGCAGGGGAAAUGUUUAGCCCAGAAAGCGGUGUGUUAUUGUACUCUAACAAUGCAUCAGAGAGGUAUGCCAUGGGUUGCAAAGGUGGAGCGGAGCGUCUCUAUGACUGCCUUGCUACUCUUGCUGGUUAGUCGUCUCACUUCGAGCCAUUUGGAUAGGUUAUCCUCAACUACCAAGAAAGAUUUAGAGUCCAGCUCAAGGAUGUCAAUGCUAACCUUUUGAAAAGGCAAAUCUGGAAUCUCAUGUGGGGUGAGAUUUGUGCAGUUUUUUAAGGACUUUACCGCGAAGAGACGGUGGCACUACUAUCCUUUCAUCCAAAAUCACCAGCCCAUCUUCUACAAAUAGUUCAUUGCGAACCUGCCAAUAUUGACGAGCCUCAGUUGGGACAUUUUCUCUAUUAUUUGGCCAACCCUCCUUGUAGAGCUGAAUUACUACAGAGAGGCCUGCAUCUGUUGCAGUAGCCUGUCUGAACUCAGCCCCAAUUUCAGGUGACAUGGAAAUGUGCUUGGUUACCUCAUGAACAACCUCCAGCAUUUCUGGAUCGUCAUGUACUGGGUCCUCGAGAAAUUGGCGAGAAAGAAGGUCUGCCAUGUGCAUGUGUUUUCCAGGCAAGUACUCGACAACAGGAUUGAACUCCAUCAGUUUGAGUCUCAAUUUCUUUAAUCUGUUGUUUUUGAUUGA